UACGUAGGUGGCAAGCGUUGUCCGGAUUUACUGGGCGUAAAGCGCGCGCAGGCGGACUGAUCAGUCUGGGGUGAAAUCUCCCGGCUCAACUGGGAGCGGUCCCUGGAUACUGUCAGUCUUGAGAGACCUAGAGGAGAGCGGAAUUCCCGGUGUAGUGGUGGAAUGCGUAGAUAUCGGGAAGAACGCCAGUGGCGAAAGCGGCUCUCUGGGGGUUUUCUGACGCUGAGGCGCGAAAGCGUGGGGAGCGAACCGG
rnacentral:rRNA from 1 species